AACCAUAGAAACCUGCGGAGUACCUGCGGAGGGAUCAUUACAAGUGACCCCGGUCUAACCACCGGGAUGUUCAUAACCCUUUGUUGUCCGACUCUGUUGCCUCCGGGGCGACCCUGCCUUCGGGCGGGGGCUCCGGGUGGACACUUCAAACUCUUGCGUAACUUUGCAGUCUGAGUAAACUUAAUUAAUAAAUUAAAACUUUCAGCAAUGGAUCU
rnacentral:misc_RNA from 1 species